GGAGAGGUGUCCGAGUGGUCGAAGGAGGCGGUCUCGAAAACCGUUGUGCGGUUCACGCCGUACCGUGGGUUCGAAUCCCACCCUCUCCG
rnacentral:tRNA from 1 species